CUUACCAGGUCUUGACAUCCUUUGACCACUCGAGAGAUCGAGCUUUCCCUUCGGGGACAAAGUGACAGGUGGUGCAUGGUUGUCGUCAGCUCGUGUCGUGAGAUGUUGGGUUAAGUCCCGCAACGAGCGCAACCCUUAUUACUAGUUGCCAGCAUUCAGUUGGGCACUCUAGUGAGACUGCCGGUGACAAACCGGAGGAAGGUGGGGAUGACGUCAAAUCAUCAUGCCCCUUAUGACCUGGGCUACACACGUGCUACAAUGGAUGGUACAACGAGUCGCGAAGUCGUGAGGCCAAGCUAAUCUCUUAAAGCCAUUCUCAGUUCGGAUUGUAGGCUGCAACUCGCCUACAUGAAGCCGGAAUCGCUAGUAAUCGCGGAUCAGAACGCCGCGGUGAAUACGUUCCCGGGUCUUGUACACAC
rnacentral:rRNA from 1 species